GGUCUGCACAGGAAGUGUUUCACUGAAGGUGAGGAAAAUGUUGACAUUCAUCUUUUUUUAUUACCUGCUGAGUUUGUUGUUGUUGUCGUCCCACGACAGACGUUUGAGCUCCUCUGAUGGAAGGACCAUGCCGCUGUCGCUCUGCUCCUCCUGAACAUUCACAGAUUGGUGAGUGUCGUCCUGGCAGGGCACCUGGAAGGUGUGCAGCGUGGCCACAGCCCGCAUGUAACUACACAAGACAAAGACUGGACGAGUCCCUCCAAGCUGACCUGCUGCACCAUGGACUGGAGCAUGUCGCCCAAGGUCUGCACCAGCUGGCAGAAGGAGGGUCGCUCGCUGACCUCGGUAUCCCAGCACGCCAGCAUUGUGCUGUAACUAUAUACACACACACAUUCUUGUAUUUGUUACGUUUUUGAGACCUCCGAAAAAUGCCUACCUCUUUAGAACCACCCUUUCUAGAUGUAUAAAGAUGUGUAUUUACAACAUUAAUAAUAUAUACAUACUAUGCAAAUAUAAAAAGCUUGUUGUAAAAAAA